CAUGAGUGAAAGAUGUACCAUUAGCUGUUUUAAAUUAAAAUAAAAUGUUAUGCAUGAAUCUUUUUUUUUUUUCCAGUAAUUCCCUUACAUGAGCCAACUUUCAAUUAACCAAUUACCAGAUCCAAUCAUGUCUGUUAAGAAGGUGUCCACUGUACGGGAGACAAUCAGCAGUGGGGCAUCUGGAAAUGUGUAAGGGAGUUCUGAGUAGUCACAAUGACUGGCAUUUUGUGGGUAAAAACCAGAGGAGUAUGACUAUAGUUCUUGAGAAAGACCCAUACAAAGAAGUGUCCUGACUAAAAUGCCAGAGCAUCUCAUCAAGGAAUACCGGAAUACGAGCUGAGAAAAGAAAAGACUUAUAUUUUGCGGUAGUGACCAGGGUUGCAGGUAUGAAGCACAGUACCUGGGCCCCAGGUGCAUACCUCCCACCCCCAAACACAUACACAUUCUCCAGCACUCCUGAAGACUUCUAUGGAAGGAGACUUGGAAUACAUAUAUCCUAAGAUGUCAAGAUCUAGACUGACUGGAAUCCAAGACCCACAGAGGUUAAAAAUAAUCUGCCCAAGAUAACACAAUCAAUGAAAGCCAGAUCUAGUAUCCAGAUUUUAGAUCCCAUGUAGUUAUAUAUGGAAAAUAAAGAUACACAUGAG